AGCGAACGCUGGCGGCGUGCCUAACACAUGCAAGUCGAACGUGAAAAGGGAAACCUGAGUAAAGUGGCGUACGGGUGAGUAACGCGUAGGUAAUCUACCCCAGAAUCUGGAAUAACCUGCCGAAAGGCGGGCUAAUACUGGAUAGAGCGAGGGAACUCGUAAGAGAGUUUUUCGGGAAAGGGAGCCCGCAAGGGCCUUCGUUCUGGGAUGAGCCUGCGUCUCAUUAGCUAGUUGGUAAGGUAACGGCUUACCAAGGCGAUGAUGAGUAGCUGGUCUGAGAGGAUGAUCAGCCACACUGGAACUGAAACACGGUCCAGACUCCUACGGGAGGCAGCAGUGGGGAAUCUUGCGAAAUGGACGAAAGUCUGACGCAGCCACGCCGCGUGAGUGAAGAAGGCCUUCGGGUUGUAAAGCUCUGUCGGAUGGGACGAACAUCUUCAUAGUGAAUAGCUAUGAGGACUGACGGUACCAUCAAAGGAAGCACCGGCUAACUCCGUG
rnacentral:rRNA from 1 species